rnacentral:rRNA from 1 species
UACAGAGGAUGCAAGCGUUAUCCGGAAUCACUGGGCGUAAAGCGCGUGUAGGCGGUCAAAGAAGUUUGGUGUGAAAGCCCUGGGCUCAACCCAGGAAGUGCGCCGAAAACCAUUUGACUAGAGUCUCGGAGGGGAGUGUAGAAUUCCGUGUGUAGAGGUGAAAUUCGUAGAUAUACGGAGGAAUACCGGUGGCGAAGGCGACACUCUGGACGAGAACUGACGCUGAGACGCGAAAGCGUGGGUAGCAAACAGG